AUGUUUGCCACCGCUCGUCGCGGGUCUCAAUUCUGGAAAUCCCUUGUCAAAGUCAGGCCUACCUUCCUGGAACAUGUUAAAUUUACCAUUGGUAAUGGGACGGCAAUCCGUUUCUGGUUGGACUGGUGGUUUGGGGAUGCCCCCCUAGCUCUUAGUUUUCCGGUUUUGUUUUCGUAUUGCCCUACUCCUGAUAUCUCCAUCGCGGAGGUGGCGGCUAAUAACUGGGAUCUGGCUUUUCGUCGGUCCCUAUCUCCUGAAGAGUUGGAAGACUGGCAAAGUCUCUCUGCCCUCUUCCCCGUGCUCUCGGAGACGUCUGACACUGUGGUUUGGCCUCAUUCGGCCUCUGGCAGAUUUUCGGUUAAGUCGUUGUACUCUAGGCUUAUCGGUGGUACCCUUUCGAGCAGAUUUUCUUGUGUUUGGAAGUCCAAAGUCCCUCCUAAGAUUAAAAUUUUCCUUUGGCAAGCCUUUCGGGGAUCUGUUCUAACCAAAGACAAUCUCGUACGACGCAACUGGCCAGGGAGUAAGAAGUGUUGUUUUUGUACUCAUGAAGAGACAAUCAAACACCUGCUUUUCCAAUGCAAGUUUGCACGUUCUACGUGGCCAGACAUCCAAAUAGCAUCAAAUUUGUAUCCUCCCACAAGUGUCGUCAAUAUUUUUGGUCAUUGGUUGGACGGUAUUCCAAAUAGGUUCAAAAUGCUAAUAAGGGUGGGAACGUAUGCCUUACUAUGGUCGCUUUGGCUAUGUUGA
rnacentral:rRNA from 1 species